ACCAUAAGCCUAACUUCACACCACAGUGAUGGCUAAGUCAGGGUUUUUGAGGCUGCCUGAAGAGAGCUGUGCCGGUGGAGGUAAGAUCUGCACUUUGCUCAGUCGCUUGCAUUAGGAGAAGCGAGGUCCUGCUGGAUUUGAAACCGUGUGGUAAAAUGUCAGUAAAUAUUUCAGAGCAUGAGGCAGCGUUUAGACACCACAGCCAUGUGUAAUGCUGAGCUUUGAGGGUCAAAGGCCUGCCUUUGGACUGCCAAAAUACAAGAACCACCCCUCAGAUUUGGGAUACUAAUGGUUUUUGGAAACACAGGCAGGCUUCUGCUGAAAGCCAGGUGGACUUAAAGAGGUUGGUAAUUGUUGUUAGGGCUUUUUCCUCUGCUGGGGAUGAAUACCAAAUGAGCUGUUAACGCGGGGAUGUGGAUGGACAGUUAGUAGGGUGCCUAUCAGAGCUUUCCUGGCACCAGCUUUGUCAUCUUUUCCCCUGCAACAGGACGCUCAGAGGGACCCGCUGCAAUUCUCACUGCACCGUAUGGAAAUCAGUUCACGUUUUCUCUGGAGAAAGAAAAUAACUGCUUCUGCUUUCUGGUUCCUUUUUUUUUUUUUUUUGGCCUUUUUUUUUCUUUCUUUCUUUUUUCCCCUUACACUUUGGAGCCCAAGGUAGCUGCAUUUAGCAGCUUUAAUGUCCUUUCAUUGCUGCUGCUUGCAGGGUUGUGGUCACUCAGGCAGCAGUAACUUUGAAAAAAUGACCCGUCUACACCCAAACAAUAACAGAAUCCCCCUUUUUAUGUUGGCAACGCCCACCGCUUUCUCUUCUCUUCAAGACUCCCCACGUAGACGCAACUGUUUGACCAGCCUUCUUCUGAACAACUUAAUUAAGCAAAAGAAAAAGUGUCAGUUUCUGCCAACCCCACAAAAACAGAGCUGUGGGGGUAAAAAGGGGAUGUGGCAUCAGCCCGCAUUCCUCAAUGGGCUAAUGAAGGGAGACCCUCGCUUUGCAGCGCUGUCAGGCAUAGCCAGGGCUAUCGUGACAUACUGCUUCACCCACCACCCCAGACACGAUGGGAGCCAGUGUGACCCGUGUCCCGUAGACACAGAGGUGCCCUGGGAAGCACCUCUGGCUUGGCAGAGGGGCACGUGUGUGCCUCUUCCCAUUAGAGUCAGCCCAGGGGAUCAAGCAGUUUUCCAAGCUGCAUGAAAAGGGGAGCCCCUUUUUUCUGUCAGGGACAGGCUACAGUUCUGCAAAGGUCGGGGGCUGCUCUGACUUUGCACAGCGCACCUACCACCUCUGAAAUCAAUGGGCUGGCUGUUCACCCGCACAAGUACAGUGCACAUGUAGGUCUUUGAAGGACCACGGCUUUGUCUGGAAAAGAGUGCAAUCUCAGUACAUCUACAGAAGAGGAUGGAUGGAGAAUCAGGUCUGUGCUCUGGCUCAGCGCACAGCCCACAUUAUUACUGUGAAAAGCUGGUCCAUGUGAAAUCUGGGAGGGUGUAGGAGGGAUUCCCAAGCCAGCCUUGGCACAGGCCAGCUGUGUGGUGAAGCACUGAGCACUGCUUGGCUGCUCAGCCCAAAACCCAGCUGGCUGUUUGCAGUCAGAGUUUAUCUGGGGAGGAGUGAGGUACCAGUUUGAGAUGGGUAAGGUUUUAUGGACCUGUUUUCCCAGCCACUGAAAUUACCCCAGCAACUAACUGCAUGAGCAGAAGAAGGAGGCCUCAAAAUCAUGUUGGUGACUUGAUGGUGGGAUGCUGGGAUGCUUUUUUCUCAGAUCCCACCCAUCCUCACAUCCCAGUCUUGGUGGAUGAAAGAGAAGAGAAUGCUUCUCGGGGCAGGAAGUGGAGUGAAGCAACGCCAUUAGCUGAGACAGGAAGGAAACACAGGGCAGGUUUUAUCUCAUCUUCUUCAGAGCUCCUGUGUCCUCUCAUCCAUCCUAAGGAAGGGUGGGUGUUUCUGCACCUCCCAUAAGUGCAAAAAAGAGACAGGACACCUAGUUCAGGCCAGGCACUUAAUUUUUGCAUGGUUAAAAGCAGGUGUGAUGACUGCCCAACCUUCAUGGUUGUCUAGGGGAAGAGGCUGUGUGGGAAGGAGACCUUGUAGCUACUUAGCCAAGGCCUGAGGCAAAAGUGAAGGGCUGGAGAGGCUGAGACAGGACACAGGGGAGGGCACAGCACAAAUGCAUGUAGCUGUGCAUUGCCAAGACACCAGCCAGAGGGCAGGUAGAGGCACAGUCACGUAAAUCAUAGCUGAUGGGAAAUUUACAGCUGACCAGUGAAAAAAGAAAUGGCCUGACCUUUCACUUAAGGCUACAAUGGCUGUGCUGCUGCUGGCCCCUUUCCCCUCCAGGCCACUGGAGAGCCAGUUGCUAUAGCUGUGACAUUCCCCCUGCAGUUGCCUGAGAAACAUGCUGAAGCCCCUGGCUGACACCUCCCGCUCUCAGCAUCCCCCCCUCUGGCACUCGAGAUGCUUUAUGUGCCGAUCCCAGUGUCCGAAGGCGAAGGCGGAGGUUAAGACCUUGUCCUGUAUUCUGUCCCUACUUAGCAGGAUCCCUCUUCAAAGCUCUUACCCAGAGCAGGAGAUGAUCAUGUUUAGUGACCUGUCACACUAGUACUUCAGGCUUUUGUUCUGGGAAAUUGGUCUUCCUCUUUUCAAAGUGAGAGGAUUUGGGCUGUGUCAUUAGAGCCAUCAGCCUGCCAACCUUAAGGGAGCAAGGAGUGAAAGCUGUUUCUCCAUGAGCAGUGGAGGGUCUGAAAUGUCUUACCUCCUUUGAAGCAGAGGUUCCCAUCCCAGUGGCAUUAAAGUGGCCCCAGGACAGAAGGCAGAGGGCUGCUGCUCACCCUGGGUGGUGGGUGACUGGGCAGAAAAUUAGCUGCUCCCAUAUCUUCACUUUGUGCCUCCCUUAUUUAGAUGUGCCCUUGGCAGAUUUUAUGUGGAAGGCCAAUGGAAGAAGGGCCAGGGAUUUUAGACCUUCCCUGCUAGAUAACAUGUUUUAAAGGCACUGUGGCUUUUCCUCAUUCCCAGAAGGAAUAUCAAAACAGACCCUGUAAAAAGCCACUGAACAAACUGUGGCAUCUUGGUAAAUUUUGCCAUCCUGUGCCACAGAGGGUGCUAUAUUCUCUGUUAACCUAACGGCUGGAGUGGUGCAUGGAAGAGGGUCUCCUCUGCUUGCUCGGUGUGGGAGAUGGGCAGCUGCCAUUUGUGUGGCUUUGCCUUCUCCUGCCAUGGCCUGGACCUCACCAGCAAUAGGUACUUCCUUGACAUGAUCAUCUUCUUGGGGUUAGAGCUGGGUGGGUUGUACUCAGUGGGACGGUAAGAGGUGAGGGGAACGGUUGUAUUUCUGCCAUCUGCCUCCUAGGAGCAGUUACCAUUUCU